rnacentral:rRNA from 1 species
CUGAAUUACAUGCAAACCAAGUAAUACGCAGCCCUCCUCAUCACCCCUGCACUGUGAGCGGAGUGAGGUGCUUGCCCUUAUCUUAGCGGCGGACGGGUGAGUAAUGCUUAGGAAUCUGCCUAUUAGUGGGGGACAACAUUCCGAAAGGAAUGCUAAUACCGCAUACGUCCUACGGGAGAAAGCAGGGGAUCUUCGGACCUUGCGCUAAUAGAUGAGCCUAAGUCGGAUUAGCUAGUUGGUGGGGUAAAGGCCUACCAAGGCGACGAUCUGUAGCGGGUCUGAGAGGAUGAUCCGCCACACUGGGACUGAGACACGGCCCCAGACUCCUACAGGAGGCAGCAGUGGGGAAUAUUGGACAAUGGGGGGAACCCUGAUCCAGCCAUGCCGCGUGUGUGAAGAAGGGCGUUAUGGUUGUAAAGCACUUUAAGCGAGGAGGAGGCUACUGAGACUAAUACUCUUGGAUAGUGGACGUUACUCGCAGAAUAAGCACGGGCUAACUCUGUGCAAGCAGCCGCGGUAUACAGAGGGUGCGAGCGUUAAUCGGAUUUACUAGGGCGUACAGCGUGCGUAGGCGUUUUUUAAGUCGGGAUGUAAAUCCCCUGAGCUUCUCCUGGGAAUUGCAUUCGAUACUAGGGAAGCUAGAGGAUGGGAGACGCUCGCUAGAAUUGCAGGUGUCGCGGUAAUACUGCAUACAGAUCCGAUAAAUACGAUGCAGAAGCCACUUCUGGUCUAUACUGAGGCUGAGUCGCAGCAGGGGAGCAACAGCAUAACUAACU